CCUACGGUCGGCAGCAGUGGGGAAUAUUGGACAAUGGGCGAAAGCCUGAUCCAGCCAUGCCGCGUGUGUGAAGAAGGCCUUCGGGUUGUAAAGCACUUUCAGUGGGGAAGAAAGCCUUGGGGCUAAUACCCUCGAGGAAGGACAUCACCCACAGAAGAAGCACCGGCUAACUCCGUGCCAGCAGCCGCGGUAAUACGGAGGGUGCGAGCGUUAAUCGGAAUUACUGGGCGUAAAGCGCGCGUAGGCGGUCUGAUAAGCCGGUUGUGAAAGCCCCGGGCUCAACCUGGGAACGGCAUCCGGAACUGUCAGGCUAGAGUGCAGGAGAGGAAGGUAGAAUUCCCGGUGUAGCGGUGAAAUGCGUAGAGAUCGGGAGGAAUACCAGUGGCGAAGGCGGCCUUCUGGACUGACACUGACGCUGAGGUGCGAAAGCGUGGGUAGCAAACAGGAUUAGAUACCCCGGUAGUC
rnacentral:rRNA from 1 species